rnacentral:rRNA from 1 species
GAUGAACGCUGGCGGCGUGCCUAAUACAUGCAAAUCGAGCGAACGGACGAGAAGCUUGCUUUUCUGAUGUUAGCGGCGGACGGGUGAGUAACACGUGGAUAACCUACCUAUAAGACUGGGAUAACUUCGGGAAACCGGAGCUAAUACCGGAUAAUAUUUUGAACCGCAUGGUUCAAAAGUGAAAGACGGUCUUGCUGUCACUUAUAGAUGGAUCCGCGCUGCAUUAGCUAGUUGGUAAGGUAACGGCUUACCAAGGCAACGAUGCAUAGCCGACCUGAGAGGGUGAUCGGCCACACUGGAACUGAGACACGGUCCAGACUCCUACGGGAGGCAGCAGUAGGGAAUCUUCCGCAAUGGGCGAAAGCCUGACGGAGCAACGCCGCGUGAGUGAUGAAGGUCUUCGGAUCGUAAAACUCUGUUAUUAGGGAAGAACAUAUGUGUAGGUAACUGUGCACAUCUUGACGGUACCUAAUCAGGAAGCCACGGCUAACUACGUG